CUGCCGGAAAACUGAAAUUCUCUACACCUGUGUGCGCUUCAGCCUUCUUGUGGAAAUACAAGUACUCUCCUAAGCCACCACACCCAUGGAAAAAGUACCUGACUGAUCACCCUUGGAAAAAGAAGUACCUUCCACCCCUGUCUCCUCACCCAUGGAAGAAGUACUUUACACCAAAGCCGGUUUAUACAUAUCCACCAAAGCCGGUUUAUUCAUAUCCACCAAAGCCGGUUUAUACACCUAAACCGGUUUAUACACAUCCACCAAAACCGGUUUAUACACCAAAGCCCCCAAGUCCUGUUUAUACACAUCCACCAAAGCCGGUUUAUACACCUAAGCCGGUUUAUUCCCAUCCCCCCACUCCCGUCUAUACUUAUCCACCAAAGCCGGUUUAUAAGCAUCCAAUUUAUAAGAAGCCCUGCCCACCCAUUGUACCUUUGCCUAAACCUAUUUACAAGAAGCCUUGCCCACCCAUUGUUCUUCCCCCCAAGUUCUUCCACCACCCUAAAAUGAAGUACUUCCCUCCCAUGCCACCUCACUUCUCCCACCAUCCUUGAAGCUUCCGUCUUGGUGUUUAGCCUGUUGAAUAACCUCUCGUUUAAUUUCCUCGUUGCAACAAUAAUAAAAACCUUCGUGGAGAUAGAUCUACAGUUGAAGACUUGGAGUGUGCUGAGUGCUUGUGUUAGUUGAUGGAACAAAUUUGAUGUGUGUUAUGUUUUUUUUUUCUAUGGUUUUUCAAGGUUGCAUUUGUAAGUUGAUAAGCAAGCAGAUCAUUUCUAUUUGAAAUAUAUUAAUCUUGUUUCAGUGAUCAAUAUUACGUAAUUUUCUUGCCAACAAUUUAUUAAAAAAAAAAAAAAAAUACUAUUUGAGUAUAUGGAAAUUAAAAAUAUGAUCUCAACACUUGCAAACUUUCUUCUACAUUUCCUUUCAAGUUUCAACAAUCUAAGUAGAAACUUUAGGUAAAGAUCUCAUUUCCGAACUUUAUCAUAACUAGCAAGUGCUUUCAACAAUUUGAAAACCUUUGGUUUGUGUCAUUUAUAGGCUUCUUUCCAUCUCUCAGCUACCUGACAGAAUUUCCACCUGGAAGUCUCUGAACCUCAGGAAACACAAGACAACUCUGUUAGAAUUCAAACCCUCCCUCGUACAAAUAAAAUGCGACAGCUAGCAUUACGAGGAAUAUAAACAGUGCAUAGUUGUGUGAAUUAAGGUGAAUAAAUGUAACAGAAGGAUGAAAAUUGAAGCAGAUGGUCAUAUGUUGAAUCAAUGAAUUAAGGUGGGCUGAAGGAAAUCAAUGCUGCAGCUGAACAGAACAGGCGGGUCUUAUGUACAUGUGCAUCAGUACAUGUGAUGCACAUGUGACACUUAUAGGCCAAGUUAGCAGACAUAUCUACUCAAGUAUACUAUAUAGGCUUAAUGAACUUUUAGCCCUCCAAGUAUGGGUGGAAGUUCCGAUGCGGCCUCGAAAUUUAAAAACGUACCUUUCGCCCCUCAAAGUAUCUUUGUUGUACCUUUUAGCCCUUUUUAAAAAUACCGGUAUAAAUAGGGGGAUAAACUUGACAAUUCAUAUUCGGGGUAAAGUUUUGGCGUACCUUUUAACCCUUAAAGUAUACAUCUCGUUCUUUUUAACUCCUAAAGAAUACAUUAAAAUACAUUACAUGUUCCUUUUAACCCUUAAUGUUUAAUGCCCCUUUUAAUCCUCACGUGUGAAAUGUCAACUUUGUCCAUCCCGUUAUAUACCGGUUUACGCCAUAAGGGCUAAAAGGUACGACAAAGAUACUUUGAGGGUCGAAAGGUACGUUUUUAAACUUCGAGGCCGCAUCGGAACUUCCACCCAAACUUCAAGGGCUAAAAGGAUAUUAAGCCUACUAGUCUAUAUACCAGUGGCAGAGGAAUUGGUGUAAAAAUAAAGAACGCGGAAUAAGAACAUAUAGAAGUGUAAAUAGCUGUGAGGUGAUAAAAAGAGCUGAAGCUCAAGUGACAUUAGAGCUAGGUUCUUUCAUAGAAAAAAAAUGGUGUCGCAACUGCAAAUCCGUACAAAUUAUGGGAAUUGAAGUAUUUGAGUGAGGUCCUAUCAUAAUUGGGACAUAAUCGAAGGCGGGUAUAACGAGCAUGAGGAUGAAGGAGUUCUUUCAAAUGCAGAGAAAACGUCUUUAAAGGAUUUUUCGGAAGAAAAAGGCCAAAAAAACUUCGUAUAUGAAUUUUUAAGGGGUCGACGAAUUGACUUUUGAUGAAAACUCGGGAGCAAACAUGGCAAAAGUUGUUUAGGAGAUUUUGCAAAAAUCAUUUCUAAGGUGUCAAAAAAGUGAAAAAGAUGCGGCUUCAAAUGCUAUGUGGAGAGUUCGAAAAUAUAUAGAUGAAAAGUGAGGAGAAUAUCGGAGAACAUGUUAAUUUAACAACCGUGACAAACUAAAUGAAAAGAAAAGGAGUAAGUCUCAAUGAUGUUCGGGUUCAUGAAAAAAUUCCUUCGUUCAUUGAUAAAAAAAUUUGAUAAUGUUCACUACAAAGAAACUGGUCUAUCAGCGACCAAAAUUAUCAACGACCGUAAAGUCUAUUGCUAAUUUUGAGCUACAGGGUGAUCAUGAGUCAAGGGUGUAAUCGAGCCAAGCCGAGUCGAACACUACCAGGCUCGGCUCGAGCUCGAUUGAAAACUUCGGGGCUCGAGCUCGAGUUCGAGUUCGAUCGAGCCUUUAAUUUCAAGUUCGAAACUCGGUUCAAAAACAAUUUGAUAGCCUCGAGUUCGGCUCGAAAGCUCGAAUCAAGUCACCAAAUAUCGCCAAAAACUCGAAUUAUGAUCGGUUUGGCUCGAGUUCGAUUCGAUUAGGUCUAUAAAUUAUAAAUAAAAUAUUAAAUAUAUUUGUAAAAAUAUAUUUAUAAUAUAAAAAUUAAAAAAUAGUAGAGGCUCGAUAAGGCUCGCGAACCUUACGAGCCGAGUAAUUUGAAGCUCGCAUUCGGCUCGGUAAAACAUCCAAAUAGCUCGAGUUCGAGCUUGGCUCGAUUAUUAUCGAAUCAAACUCGAAUAUAUUACGAGCCAAGCUCGAGUAGCUCACGAACAGUUUGGUUUGUUUACACCUGUUAUAACGGAAGUAAAAAAGAUUAUAAUAAACGUAAAGAGAAGAACACAAAUUGGUAGAAGAGAAAAGUUUUAUUGAUCUUGAGGAUACAGAUACAUCAUACGUUUUUAGGUUAUAUCCCAGAAAGUAUGACCUAGAGAGUUUAUAUAUUACUCUUAGGGUUACAGAAAAGCCCAAAAAACAGGCUACAGAAAAGCCCAGAAAAUAGGCCCAAAACCGAUUCAAGGCAUAUUUAACAAAUCUCCAUCUUGACUUGAAUCCUUUCACAAAAACGGAUGUACCAGAUGCACCAUAAUAAUGCCGGAUGUACCAGAAAAAAAACUCUUUUGCCUUAGAUUUUGAAUCAACAACUCCGAACAUUUAGCAAGUUCAAACAAUGUUGAAACUUGCUAUAUGGAACCAGCCUUGUAAGCAUAUCAGCUGGCUAUCUGCAGUACCCACUUUGCUUACCUUGAUUCUCUUCUCGCUUCUCAGAAAAUGAUAUCUUACGUCUAUAUGCUUAGUCCUCUCAUGAUGGACUUGAUCCUUAGCUAAACAGAUUGCACUUAGACUAUCACAAUAUACAGUAGCCUGAUCAUGAUGUAGACCCAAAUCACUGACCAAUCCUUUCAACUAGAUUCCUUCUUUUGCUGCCUCCGUCAUUGCCAUGUAUUCUGCUUCCGUAGUAGACAAAGUCACUGUAGGUUGCAGAGUAGCUUUACAACUGACAAUUGAACCACCCUGAAUGAAAGCAUAACCAGUCACAGAUCUUCUACUGUCAACAUCUCCAGCGUAGUCAGAGUCUGAAAACCUUGUCACGAAACACUCCGUAUCACCUCCAUAAAUGAGACCAACAUCAGACGUGCCUUUUAAGUACCAAAAAAUCCUCUUCACAACUUGCCAAUGCUCCUUGCAUGGUUCACCCAUAAACCUACUAACAACACUGACAGACUGUGCAAGAUCAGGUCUAGUGCAGACCAUUGCAUACAUCAAGCUUCCUACUGCACUAGCAUAAGUAACUCGAGACAUGUACUCCUUUUCCUCAGCAGACUUCGGUGCAAAAGCAACAUACAGAUGUGCAUUUGCAGCACUAGGAGUAUCUAUGGGCUUUGCGGUGGACAUGCCAAAUCUUGACAAAAUCUUCUGAAUGUAUCCCUUCUGUGACAAGAAGAGUUUUCCUUUACUUCUAUCCCUACAGAUCUCCAUUCCCAGAAUUUUCUGAGCCGCACCCAAAUCUUUCAUCUCAAACUCAGCUUUAAGGAGACCUUUCAACUUCUGAACAUCAGACUUGUUCUCUGCAGCUAUCAACAUAUCAUCUACAUAUAGGACCAGAUAAAUCAAAGAACCAUUUGCUGCCUUACUAUAAUAAACACAAUAAUCAUAUGGACUCCUGGUGUAGCCAGUACUUAUCAUAUAGCUGUCGAAUUUUUUGUACCAUUGCCUCAGAGACUACUUUAGUCCAUACAAGGACUUCAAUAACUUGCAAACAUAGUCUUCCUUACCAGGGACCUGAAAACCAUCUGGCGGAGUCAUGUAUAUCUCAUCUUCCAACUCUCCAUGCAGAAAAGCUAUCUUCACAUCUAGUUGUUCAAGCUCCAUAUUCUGAUGUGCAACUAUUGCUAGUAGCACCCUAAUGCAAGUGUGCCUGACCACUGGUGAAAAAAUCUCAUUGUAGUCCACUCCCUCUUUUUGAGUGAACCCACUGGCUACUAAUCGAGCUUUAUACUUGACCCCCUCAACAGAUGUUUCUCCUUCCUUCUUCUUGUAGACCCAUUUACAAG
rnacentral:lncRNA from 1 species